GACGAACGCUGGCGGCGUGCCUAAUACAUGCAAGUUGAGCGAUGAAGAUUGGUGCUUGCCCCAAUUUGAAGAGCAGCGAACGGGUGAGUAACGCGUGGGGAAUCUGCCUUUGAGCGGGGGACAACAUUUGGAAACGAAUGCUAAUACCGCAUAACAACUUUAAACAUAAGUUUUAAGUUUGAAAGAUGCAAUUGCAUCACUCAAAGAUGAUCCCGCGUUGUAUUAGCUAGUUGGUGAGGUAAAGGCUCACCAAGGCGAUGAUACAUAGCCGACCUGAGAGGGAGAGCGGCCACAAUGAGACUGAGACACGGCCCAAACGCCGACGGGAGGCAGCAGGAGGGAAUCUUUGGAGAUGGACGAAGGUCUGACCGAGCAACGCGGCGUGAGUGAAGAAGGGUUUCGGAUCGUAAAACUCUGUUGGUAGAGAAGAACGUUGGUGAGAGUGGAAAGCUCAUCAAGUGACGGUAACUACCCAGAAAGGGACGGCUAACUACGUG
rnacentral:rRNA from 1 species